rnacentral:rRNA from 1 species
CCUACGGGUGGCUGCAGUGAGGAAUAUUGGUCAAUGGACGAGAGUCUGAACCAGCCAAGUAGCGUGAAGGAUGACUGCUCUAUGGGUUGUAAACUUCUUUUAUAAAGGAAUAAAACGAGGCACGUGUGCCUUUUUGCAAGUAUUUUAUGAAUAAGGAUCGGCUAACUCCGUGCCAGCAGCCGCGGUAAUACGGAGGAUUCGAGCGUUAUCCGGAUUUAUUGGGUUUAAAGGGUGCGUAGGUGGGUGGAUAAGUUAGUUGUGAAAUUUCGCGGCUCAACCUUAGAAUUGCAAGUGAUACUGGCAGUCGUGAGUAUAGUUGAGGUAGGCGGAAUGUGUGGUGUAGCGGUGAAAUGCUUAGAUAUUACGAAGAACCCCGAUUGCGAAGGCAGCUUACUAAGCUGUUACUGACAUUGAGGCUCGAAAGUGUGGGGAGCAAACAGGAUUAGAUACCCGUGUAGUC